rnacentral:rRNA from 1 species
UACGUAGGGUGCAAGCGUUAAGCGGAAUUACUGGGCGGAAAGCGUGCGCAGGCGGCUUUGCAAGACAGAUGUGAAAUCCCCGGGCUCAACCUGGGAACUGCAUUUGUGACUGCAUGGCUGGAGUGCGGCAGAGGGGGAUGGAAUUCCGCGUGUAGCAGUGAAAUGCGUAGAUAUGCGGAGGAACACCGAUGGCGAAGGCAAUCCCCUGGGCCUGCACUGACGCUCAUGCACGAAAGCGUGGGGAGCAAACAGG